ACCGCCAUUAGGGAGAUAGGGGAGGGGACUAACACGGGACUGAGCCCUUACUCUGCCCAUCACUGUUAUCAGGUUCUGGAAACGCAAAGAAGACUAAGACAACCUUUCCCCUCAAGGCACUUGGAGUCUAACAGGACAGCCAGGCCCACUAUUAACUAGAUGAAGUAAAAUGUGGUUAACUGGAUAGGAGCUGAGAACAAGAAGGGCUGUAGAGGCAAGAAAGGAAGGACGCAAGUUUUCCCCAGCUCUUUCCAUAUGGUGGACCUCAACAGCUCCAGGCUUACAGCAUCCCGUACCUCAGAAUCCCAAUGGAGAGAACUCUAAAAAAUCUCGGCAUUGGAUCUCACCAGCCUCUCGUAAUCCCUACACCCAAUAUGGGGCUCGAUCUCACGACCCCAAGAUCAAGAAGCACAUGCUCUUCCGAAUGAGCCUGCCAGGCGCCCCAUUAACAAAGUGUUUCAAUAGUUGCCAUCGUUGCAAACAAGGCAAAUAUUCUUCUUUGUUAAUUCUAUUUACAUUCUUAAUGUCAAGACAUUGUAGAUGUCAAUUCAACAAAGCUCCA